CUUAAUGCGCCUGGAUAUUUUUAAUAUUUUUUAGGGUUAAUAACAUAUAGCCUUCUAUAAUUAAACAUAUCGGCAAAGUUCAACUUUUCACCUUUAUCCUUGUAAAAAUUUAAUAAUAUUUAUAUUUGUCACUUUAAUUUGUUAUCGUUAGAGCACUUUUUUUAACGGUAGAUAAAUAAAAUGAUAUUUUUGCUAUCACAAAUACGUCACUUUAAAAGUCCCAACGAUUAGAAUUAUAUAAAAAUAUCCUCCAAAAAGUCAUCUUCUUACAAUAGGAUAAUUAUAAUAUAAGACGGGUAAAAAAAUCAAUUUAUCUCAUUCACUAAUUAGAAUUAAGUAGUUUACCUAUAGUUAACUAUAUUUUUCUAACGAAUCCUAACAGUAAGGGUAUAUUCGAAAUCGUUAGGAUUUUUGCAGAGAUGAAAAUGAAUAGUUGAAUUUUCGUAGGAAUAUAUUUGCUAUUCGAUAUGUUUACAGCGAGCUGUUUGCAAUUAAUCUUUUUUUUUUAUGUUAAAAUGUACAAAACUUGUCUAAACAAUAGAUCAUUUUAAGUCGGUUAUCUAAUCUUUCAAACUUUUGAUUUUAAUGUCCAAUGUGAGUCAGUCAACGCUAUUUUGACUUCAAAAUGUAACUAAUUGUUUACUUUAAUAAAUUUAUAUAUAGUUGCGAAUUGUAUGACAUAUACUAAUUAACGCAUUCAAAUUUUGGAACAAAAGUGUCGUUGACCGGCUCAAACCACAAAUUGAAAAUUUAGAUAGUAAAACUAAUAUUAUAAAAGAUGGAUAGACAAAUGAAAAAGAUUCAUGAGUCUGGCUUCAGUGCUUCUAAUAACACCAAGCAUUUGGCGUUAUCAAGUUUUUCACCGUUAGAUUUAUUUUAUUUUAACAAUUUCUGUUCGUAAGAUUAUUCAACGAACCACCCACUCAACUUUAAAGGAGCACUAUAUUUCUAACCGCACAUCCCUUCAUCUAAGGAUUGGAAACUUAAUAGCACAAAUGACUUAAUACUAUUAGAAACAUUCUGGUCUAAUUCAAUGAUUGUUUAGACAAAUUAUAUAUAUAUAUAUAUAUAUAUAUAUAUAUAUAUUUUAUAAUAAAUGAUCAUAGUUACUUGAAUCUAAAUUCAUUUCAAUUUAGCCAUUUGGAUCCUAAAUUUUAAUUUAUAUUUUUCACAAUCACUCUCUCUCUCUCUCUCUCUCUCUCUCUAUAUAUAUAUAUAUAUAUUUUAUAAUAAUAAUAAUUAUUAGAACGUGUGGACACACCCUUAACUAAUAACUAGUUAAGGGGCCCUGCACGAUGCGCCAGGAAGACAAUACAACAAUAAAUUAUUAUAACUAUUAACAUUAUUUUUUCUAUUAUACAUUAAUAUUUUUAAAUAUUAUUUAUUUUAGUAUUGAAUAAUUAAAAAUUACAGAAUAAAUUAAAGAAUGAAAUUAAAGUAUAUUUUUUCUAAAAAUAUUUAAACCUAAUAAGUAAAAUGAAUAAAUUAAUUUAAAAUAAAAUAAAAACUCAUUACAGUAUUAAGAAUAAAUAAUAUUUUUCUAUUAUCAUCAAGAUAGAAUUUGUAAUAAAAUAAAAUAAAAUAAUUAAUUGAAGUGAAAGUACUAUCUUUGUAUUCUUGGCGGCAGCGUUUUCAUUGUGCCCUCAAUAACUUUUACCGUCACACGUAUAACUAAUAAAGUAUUUGAUUCCUAAAUUUUAAAUUAGUGAAGAAAUCAGCAGAUAAUUUGUCGUACCCCUAGAAUUCAGCAUUUGAGGCUUGUCGACAGCUCUGGAGAGUGUCGGGACAAGUCCGAGUCGCGUUGGCGCGAAAUAGACGCAAAACGGACUCAGCGUGACGCAAGAGUAGGAAGUUAGCACUAAAAUAUGUAAAUUUCAGAUUUUCAGCAUUGGUACUAGUACA
rnacentral:lncRNA from 1 species